CCUACUCAUUACAGCUGUCCAAAAUUAAAUUGCAAUAUGACAAAUAUAACAAAAACAGAGAUACUUCUUUUUAUUUCAAAUAUUUUUCGUACAUCGCAUAUUAUUAUCCAAUCAAAUUCCAUUUGUCCUGAAUACGGUAGGUGAAGGAGGGGUUGCCCUCGCCACCACGCCUGCAGGUUUGUUGCACUCCUGAAGGCACGUCGGAAGGUCUNNNNNNNNNNUCCCGAAGAUCCCUACUCACUACAGCUGCCGAAAAUUAAAUUGCAAUAUGAAAAAUAUAACAAAAACAGAGAUACUUCUUUUUAUUUCAAAUAUUUUUCAUACAUUGCAUAUUAUUAUCCAAUCAAAUUCCAUUUGUCCCGAAUACGGUAGGUGAAGGAGGGGUUGCCCUCGCUACCACGCCUGCAGGUUUGUUGCACUCCUGAAGGCACGUCGGAAGGUCUAUGUAACACUCAUGCAUAACUUUGCAACAGUAGUCACCAAGGACUGGUUUGUCUAUGACACACAACCCAUGUAAAUUGAUCUUAUCCUUAUCGAUGCCAUUGAUGAUUCGACCUAUGGUAUAACAAACAAACAAUGGAC
rnacentral:lncRNA from 1 species